GACGAACGCUGGCGGCGUGCUUAACACAUGCAAGUCGAACGGAAAGGCCCUGCUUUUGUGGGGUGCUCGAGUGGCGAACGGGUGAGUAACACGUGAGUAACCUGCCCUUGACUUUGGGAUAACUUCAGGAAACUGGGGCUAAUACCGGAUAGGAGCUCCUGCUGCAUGGUGGGGGUUGGAAAGUUUCGGCGGUUGGGGAUGGACUCGCGGCUUAUCAGCUUGUUGGUGGGGUAGUGGCUUACCAAGGCUUUGACGGGUAGCCGGCCUGAGAGGGUGACCGGCCACAUUGGGACUGAGAUACGGCCCAGACUCCUACGGGAGGCAGCAGUGGGGAAUAUUGCACAAUGGGCGGAAGCCUGAUGCAGCAACGCCGUGUGCGGGAUGACGGCCUUCGGGUUGUAAACCGCUUUCGCCUGUGACGAAGCGUGAGUGACGGUAAUGGGUAAGGAAGCACCGGCUAACUACGUG
rnacentral:rRNA from 1 species